CUUCCGGGUGGUUUCGUCCGAAAGCAUUGCGCAGGUGUGGGCCCUCUGGCGCCUGCGCGACUAGGGUAGGCGUACCUCUCGCUACCAACUUGGAGUGUCUGAGGCCGGCCGCGUGGUGGCGCACGUGGCCGCGGGGAUUCGAUUGGGCCUUCUAGCUUUACAACUCCCUCUGGGUUAGCGGGCACCGAGGCGCAGGCCGAGUAAAGAUGGGAGUGAGCGGUGCUUCUUAUGCUUGGAAAUAUUCCAGACUGUUGAGUCAGUCUUCCCCCGAAGGGAACUACGGUUCGAGGGGCAGGCUUCGCCGAGGUCACAGGUCGAGUUAGCUGCAAGCAGGCCCUGGAGCCUAAAGCUUGCUGGCCAGCCAGGAGUUACAGCCCUUGUAUGCACUGCGCGCUGCACCCGCAUUUAUUGUGCAAGAUUCUGGAGGGCUGGAGCCCGGCCCUUCCGCCUCCCCACCGACGCCUAGCACCGUAAGAGCAUGCAUAGAGAGAGAGAGAGAGAGCGCACAAGCAGGGGGGAGCGGCAGGCAGAGGAAGAUGAAGAAGCAGGCUCCCGGAUGAGCAGAGAGCCCAACGCAGGGCUGGAUCCGAGGACUCUGGGAUCACGGCCUGAGCCAAAGGCAGAUGCUUAACUGACUGAGCCACGCAGGCAUCCCGAGAGGACCCCUGAAUUUUACAGGAUCUCUGGCAUGGAGCCCAAUAUGGGGCUCAAACUCACAACCCUGAGAUCAAGACCCAUGCUGAGAUCAAGAGUCAGAUGCUUAACUGACUGAGCCACCCAGGCGCCCCAGGAAUUACUGUUUCUGCUAAAGCCCCAGGAGCUGUGCAACCUGCUCAUCCCUCCUGCCACUCGGGUUCUGUGCAGGUAAGAACAGAGGCUACAGAACUCUAGAUAUAGGCAUGGAGAUGCUGCCUAAGGCCCUGGGCACAGGGGUGCACUGGUACCUGGCUUGACAGACUCAGGGUGAGCCCAGGGUCAGCUAGAGAAAGCAGCGAGAGCUACGGCAGCUCCCAGAGUCCUCUGGACCCCCUCCUUUCUGCUGUUACCCCUUCCCAUCCCUUUUGCCUCCAGCUGGGAAGCAGGCCUGGGAGGUAGACAUAUAAGAGC